rnacentral:rRNA from 1 species
GGGCGGCGUGCCUAAUAGAUGCAAGUAGAACGCUGAAGACUUUAGCUUGCUAAAGUUGGAAGGGUUGCGAACGGGUGAGUAACGCGUAGGUAACCUGCCUACUAGCGGGGGAUAACUAUUGGAAACGAUAGCUAAUACCGCAUAACAGCAUUUAACCCAUGUUAGAUGCUUGAAAGGAGCAAUUGCUUCACUAGUAGAUGGACCUGCGUUGUAUUAGCUAGUUGGUGAGGUAACGGCUCACCAAGGCGACGAUACAUAGCCGACCUGAGAGGGUGAUCGGCCACACUGGGACUGAGACACGGCCCAGACUCCUACGGGAGGCAGCAGUAGGGAAUCUUCGGCAAUGGGGGCAACCCUGACCGAGCAACGCCGCGUGAGUGAAGAAGGUUUUCGGAUCGUAAAGCUCUGUUGUAAGAGAAGAACGUGUGUGAGAGUGGAAAGUUCACACAGUGACGGUAACUUACCAGAAAGGGACGGCUAACUACGUGCCAGCAGCCGCGGUAAU